rnacentral:ncRNA from 1 species
CAGAGUUAGCAAUAAUACCCUUUUAGGGUGCUCGAGUGUUCCCUCCCGCGGAUGUGGAGACUUAAGCUCGGGAAUCCAUCCUAGAGACGCUACUCUG